UUGUUGGCUCUGAGAAGUUCUACAAAUAAUGACCGUAUGUUCACCCCAUGGGCAUCACCUCCCUAAUAGAAGCACAAAACGCAGUUUAAACAUCUCAGGGCUGUUGUUGUCUAUGUUGGAAGAGAGAGCUCUUGGAUUUCAUCUAAAAUAUCCUCAUUUGUGUACUGAAUAUGAAAAAAAGUCUCAGAAGAUUGGAACGACAUGAGGGCGAGUCAUUAAAAACAAAAGUUUUAUUUUUUGGGUGAAUUAACUCUUUUUUUAACUGAAUUAACAUUUUUGACUGAAGAAAGCAAAGUUUACAUUUUGGAUGACAAGGAGGUAUGCCUCCAGCAUAUUGUUUGUUGAAGUCAAAUCCAUGUUGCACAAGGAACUGCACUGACUGAGGCUCAAUGAUGUAUUCCUCUGAGCAAAGCAAGGUGAGAUUGUAAACCUGGACCAGGUAAGUGGUCUCUGCCUAGAAAUAUGACACAAAUAGAAUUAGCGCAAAGUCAGUUUAUAUAUUCAGACAAAAACUGACUGUUAAUUAGACAUUCUUACUUUGUUUUCAAGCUCUUUAUAACAGGCAAACCCUAAUGAAAGAACAGAUCGGGUGCGGGCAGCAUGCGAUAUGGCUUUAUACCUGUCUUCAAUCGACCUUUAAAGAGAGAAAAGGGUAAAUUUAAGACCAAGUAA